rnacentral:tRNA from 1 species
CAAUAGCUGAGUGGAUAACGUGAUGGCGUUUGAAACGAAAGGUACUGGGUUCGAGUCCCAGAGUGAA